UACGGAGGGUGCAAGCGUUGUCCGGAUUCAUUGGGCUUAAAGGGCGCGCAGGCGGGACAUUAAGUCAGGGGUGAAAGACGGUUGCUCAACAAUCGCAGUGCCUUUGAUACUGGUGUUCUUGGGUGACCUUGAGGUAGGCGGAAUGGGUGGUGUAGCGGUGAAAUGCAUAGAUACCACCCAGAACUCCGAUUGCGAAGGCAGCCUACUGGAGGUUUACCGACGCUCAGGCACGAAAGCGUGGGGAUCAAACAGG
rnacentral:rRNA from 1 species